AACGAACGCUGGCGGCAUGCCUAACACAUGCAAGUCGAACGAGACCUUCGGGUCUAGUGGCGCACGGGUGCGUAACGCGUGGGAACCUGCCCUUAGGUUCGGAAUAACUCCCCGAAAGGGGUGCUAAUACCGGAUAAUGUCUUCGGACCAAAGAUUUAUCGCCUUUGGAUGGGCCCGCGUUGGAUUAGCUAGUUGGUAGGGUAAAAGCCUACCAAGGCGACGAUCCAUAGCUGAUCUGAGAGGAUGAUCAGCCACACUGGGACUGAGACACGGCCCAGACUCCUACGGGAGGCAGCAGUGGGGAAUAUUGGACAAUGGGCGAAAGCCUGAUCCAGCAAUGCCGCGUGAGUGAUGAAGGCCUUAGGGUUGUAAAGCUCUUUUACCCGGGAUGAUAAUGUCAGUACCGGGAGAAUAAGCUCCGGCUAACUCCGUG
rnacentral:rRNA from 1 species